UACAGAGGUCUCAAGCGUUGUUCGGAUUCAUUGGGCGUAAAGGGUGUGUAGGUGGCGCGCUAAGUCGGGUGUGAAAUUUCGGAGCUUAACUCCGAAACUGCAUUCGAUACUGGCGUGCUUGAGGACUGGAGAGGAGACUGGAAUUCAUGGUGUAGCAGUGAAAUGCGUAGAGAUCAUGAGGAACACCGGUGGCGAAGGCGGCAUCCUGGACCGACACUGACGCUGAGGAGCGAAAGCCAGGGGAGCAAACGGG
rnacentral:rRNA from 1 species